rnacentral:rRNA from 1 species
GAACGCUGGCGGCGUGCUUAACACAUGCAAGUCGAACGGAAAGGCCCUGCUUUUGUGGGGUGCUCGAGUGGCGAACGGGUGAGUAACACGUGAGUAACCUGCCCUUGACUUUGGGAUAACUUCAGGAAACUGGGGCUAAUACCGGAUAGGAGCUCCUGCUGCAUGGUGGGGGUUGGAAAGUUUCGGCGGUUGGGGAUGGACUCGCGGCUUAUCAGCUUGUUGGUGGGGUAGUGGCUUACCAAGGCUUUGACGGGUAGCCGGCCUGAGAGGGUGACCGGCCACAUUGGGACUGAGAUACGGCCCAGACUCCUACGGGAGGCAGCAGUGGGGAAUAUUGCACAAUGGACGGAAGCCUGAUGCAGCAACGCCGCGUGCGGGAUGACGGCCUUCGGGUUGUAAACCGCUUUCGCCUGUGACGAAGCGUGAGUGACGGUAAUGGGUAAAGAAGCACCGGCUAACUACGUG